rnacentral:rRNA from 1 species
UACAGGGGGGGCAAGCAUUGUCCGGAAUUACUGGGCGUAAAGGGCUCGUAGGCGGCCAACUAAGUCCGACGUGAAAUCCCAAAGCUUAACUUUGGAACUGCGUCGGAUACUGGAUGGCUUGAAUUCGGGAGAGGGAUGCAGAAUUCCAGGUGUAGCGGUGAAAUGCGUAGAUAUCUGGAGGAAUACCGGUGGCGAAGGCGGCAUCCUGGACCGACAUUGACGCUGAGGAGCGAAAGCUAGGGGAGCAAACGGG